UGGGGAAUAUUGCACAAUGGGCGCAAGCCUGAUGCAGCCAUGCCGCAUGUAUGAAGAAGGCCUUCGGGUUGUAAAGUACUUUCAGCGGGGAGGAAGGUGUUGUGGUUAAUAACCUCAGCAAUUGACGUUACCCGCAGAAGAAGCACCGGCUAACUCCGUGCCAGCAGCCGCGGUAAUACGGAGGGUGCAAGCGUUAAUCGGAAUUACUGGGCGUAAAGCGCACGCAGGCGGUCUGUCAAGUCGGAUGUGAAAUCCCCGGGCUCAACCUGGGAACUGCAUCCGAAACUGGCAGGCUUGAGUCUUGUAGAGGGGGGUAGAAUUCCAGGUGUAGCGGUGAAAUGCGUAGAGAUCUGGAGGAAUACCGGUGGCGAAGGCGGCCCCCUGGACAAAGACUGACGCUCAGGUGCGAAAGCGUGGGGAGCAAACA
rnacentral:rRNA from 1 species